GGGACGUAGCUCAGUGGCAGAACAUCUGCCUUGCAUGUGGAAGGUCUCUGGUUCAAUCCCCUGCAUUUUCA